CGUAACAACUUUUCUGGUACUUUGGAGAGGUAAUUUUUUUAUUUUCGACACCAUUUUUUAAAUAAAAGCACUUAAAUGGGAAAAAACUUGGGAAAAUGUACGAUUAGUUCAUAAAAACAACAUAAUUUUUGGUGCUUUUUUGAUUUACUUUUUUAUGUUAUCCCCGAAACUUGAACUUUUAAGGAAUUUUUUUAUGUAAUUCAGUUAUUAAUACAUGUAGAGACUUGAAACUUAGUAAUAAUACCUAUAUUGGACUUACCUAGACGUGGUCAAAUUUCCAAAAAUAAUCAGAAGACUUUUAAUAAGCAUAUUAAAA